GACCUUCGAAUUCAGGAGGAAAGAGGUUGUGGAUAAGAAGCCUGACAUCAAGAACCUCUUGGAAAGAUGGCCAGGUCUAUUUCAGAUGGAAGAGAUUAAUGCAGAGUUUCUGCGGGUUACUGCAGUUCCCCUGCUAACCAGAUUCAUGGCCCAGCUGGACAAGCACUCCCCACAGCUACUUAAAAUAAUCAGAAAGAAAGGAGGGACAACCAAAGCAGGAUGCUGAUGCUGACAUUAGGAGGGAGUGUAUACUUAAAUCUCUCAUUAUCUACCUUGGAGAACGUGUUGAGGACUUGAUAAAAGAAUACAUGAUAUCCCAGAAAGAUGAAGCUGAGGAAGAGCUGCAGAGUACCACAAUGGCACUCUUCGUCUUCAGGGACAACUCAAGCCUCCUACAUCAGCCUCGAGACAUCGGGAUAAUCAUUGAUGGUGUGGAAGUCUUGAAUGAUUUGCCUUCUGUGGCAGCUGGAGUGGCAAUGGUCUUUGGACUCUGUUAUGCUCUUAAUAUGGAAUAUCCACGAGGAUUCAGGUUCACCUUUGAGGCUCUUCAAAAGAUUAUGAUGGAGCUUGACUUUAAGAAGAUGACCUCUAAGAUUCGCAAACUUAAUUGUGAACUUAACACUGCACAGUAGUGUGUUUGCAUGCAUGUGUGCAUGUGUAUGUGGACAUGCAUGUGCAUGUGUGCUUGGUUAUUUUGCUUGGUUGGCCUGCAGUGGUAUUCUACAUUCAAAAAUUAUAAGAAGACCCAUUUGAAAGGGAGAUUUAAGUUGCUUUCAUUGAUACAUGUGUAGAUUUUUUUUACAUUGUACAGGCACAGUGCACAUAUAAACAUU